rnacentral:rRNA from 1 species
AUUGAACGCUGGCGGAAUGCUUUACACAUGCAAGUCGAGCGGCAGCGCGGGGGCAACCCUGGCGGCGAGCGGCGAACGGGUGAGUAACAUAUCGGAACGUACCCAGUCGUGGGGGAUAACUAUCCGAAAGGAUAGCUAAUACCGCAUACGUCCUGAGGGAGAAAGCGGGGGAUCGCAAGACCUCGCGCGAUUGGAGCGGCCGAUAUCGGAUUAGCUAGUUGGUGGGGUAAAGGCUCACCAAGGCGACGAUCCGUAGCGGGUCUGAGAGGACGACCCGCCACACUGGAACUGAGACACGGUCCAGACUCCUACGGGAGGCAGCAGUGGGGAAUUUUGGACAAUGGGGGCAACCCUGAUCCAGCCAUGCCGCGUGAGUGAAGAAGGCCCUCGGGUUGUAAAGCUCUUUUGUCCGGAAAGAAAGCAAUCGGUUAAUACCCGGUUGUCCUGACGGUACCGGAAGAAUAAGCACCGGCUAACUUCGUGCCAGCAGCCGCGGUAAAGUACAGUGU